rnacentral:rRNA from 1 species
GGGGAUGCUCUUGGGCACAAGUGCUGCAUGGCUGNGUCGUCAGCGUCUGUGUCGUGAGAUGUUGGGUUAAGUCCCGCAACGAGCGGCAACCCUUGUCUCUAGUUACUAACAGUUAGGCUGAGCACUUAGAGAGACUGCCGGUGAUAAACCGGAGGAAGGUGGGGAUGACGUCAAGUCAUCAUGGCCCUUAUGGGCUGGGCUACGCACGUGCUACAAUGGGCAGUACAGAGGGCUGCAAACCCGCGAGGGGGAGCUAAUCUCACAAAACUGCUCGUAGUCCAGGAUCGCAGUCUGCAACUCGACUGCGUGAAGUCAGGAUCGCUAGUAAUCGCAUAUCAGAAGCUGCAGGUG